rnacentral:rRNA from 1 species
CCUACGGGAGGCAGCAGUGGGGAAUAUUGCGCAAUGGGCGAAAGCCUGACGCAGCGACGCCGCGUGAGGGAUGAAGGUCUUCGGAUCGUAAACCUCUGUCAGCAGGGAAGAACGGUCACUGUGCUAAUCAGCAGUGAAUUGACGGUACCUGCAAAGGAAGCACCGGCUAACUCCGUGCCAGCAGCCGCGGUAAUACGGAGGGUGCGAGCGUUAAUCGGAAUUACUGGGCGUAAAGCGCUCGUAGGCGGUAUGUCAAGUCAAGGGUGAAAUCCCCGCGCUCAACGUGGGAACUGCCUUGGAAACUGGCAAACUGGAGUGUGUGAGAGGAUAGUGGAAUUCCAGGUGUAGGGGUGAAAUGCGUAGAUAUCUGGAGGAACAUCAGUGGCGAAGGCGACUAUCUGGCACAUAACUGACGCUGAGGAGCGAAAGCGUGGGUAGCAAACAGGAUUAGAUACCCCUGUAGUC